AGUGGCGGACGGGUGAGUAACGCGUGGGUAACCUGCCUUAUACAGGGGGAUAACAGUCAGAAAUGGCUGCUAAUACCGCAUAAGCGCACAGAGCUGCAUGGCUCAGUGUGAAAAACUCCGGUGGUAUAAGAUGGACCCGCGUUGGAUUAGCUAGUUGGUGGGGUAACGGCCCACCAAGGCGACGAUCCAUAGCCGGCCUGAGAGGGUGAACGGCCACAUUGGGACUGAGACACGGCCCAGACUCCUACGGGAGGCAGCAGUGGGGAAUAUUGCACAAUGGAGGAAACCCUGAUGCAGCGACGCCGCGUGAAGGAAGAAGUAUCUCGGUAUGUAAACUUCUAUCAGCAGGGAAGAUAGUGACGGUACCUGCAGAAGAAGCCCCGGCUAACUACGUGCCAGCAGCCGCGGUAAUACGUAGGGGGCGAGCGUUAUCCGGAUUCAUUGGGCGUAAAGCGCGCGUAGGCGGCCCGGCAGGCCGGGGGUCGAAGCGGGGGGCUCAACCCCCCGAAGCCCCCGGAACCUCCGCGGCUUGGGUCCGGUAGGGGAGGGUGGAACACCCGGUGUAGCGGUGGAAUGCGCAGAUAUCGGGUGGAACACCGGUGGCGAAGGCGGCCCUCUGGGCCGAGACCGACGCUGAGGCGCGAAAGCUGGGGGAGCGAACAGGAUUAGAUACCCUGGUAGUCCCAGCCGUAAACGAUGGACGCUAGGUGUGGGGGGACGAUCCCCCCGUGCCGCAGCCAACGCAUUAAGCGUCCCGCCUGGGGAGUACGGCCGCAAGGCUAAAACUCAAAGGAAUUGACGGGGGCCCGCACAAGCAGCGGAGCAUGUGGCUUAAUUCGAAGCAACGCGAAGAACCUUACCAGGGCUUGACAUAUGGGUGAAGCGGGGGAGACCCCGUGGCCGAGAGGAGCCCAUACAGGUGGUGCGUGGCUGUCGUCAGCUCGUGUCGUGAGAUGUUGGGUUAAGUCCCGCAACGAGCGCAACCCCCGCCGCGUGUUGCCAUCGGGUGAUGCCGGGAACCCACGCGGGACCGCCGCCGUCAAGGCGGAGGAGGGCGGGGACGACGUCAAGUCAUCAUGCCCCUUAUGACCUGGGCUACACACGUGCUACAAUGGUUGGUACAACGAGUUGCGAGUCGGUGACGGCAAGCUAAUCUCUUAAAGCCAAUCUCAGUUCGGAUUGUAGGCUGCAACUCGCCUACAUGAAGUCGGAAUCGCUAGUAAUCGCGGAUCAGCACGCCGCGGUGAAUACGUUCCCGGGCCUUGCACACACCGCCCGUCA
rnacentral:rRNA from 1 species